AAUAAGCUAACUGGCUUACGUUGGCUACCUUGCUAGCUACUCCCAGACACAAACGAGAGAACAGCCCACUGACUGUUUUACUUGCCCUAGCAGAGCUGGUUAGGCUGUGUUUGUCAUCCAGGGCAACAAUUUACGCUUUUUUCCAACGUUUACUGACACCGCCCGUAGGGUGUUGAGCGUAAAUUCGAGUGUAAAUUCGUCAGAUAUUCUGCGCUCUGGCACACACAGACGAGGGUGCUCUGAAAUCGGAGUAGAUAGCCAGAGCGAAUUUACCAGACUGAAGAUGCACUGAAGGAAUACCUGGAAAGGAAGGCCAGAAUUGGCCAAGCCAUCCUGUAAGCAGACCAGUCCCUCACUGAAGCUGAGAGCAUAAGCGGCGCAAACAAAAAGGGAGGCUUCUGAGCGGGAGUCAAGCCAUGGAGGAGUAGCUGGUAGUCCAGGAGAAGUUGAGAGUGGACCAACAGAGGAUUUAUGAGGAGAAUAUGAACCAGCUGAUGGAGAGGAAGGACAGAGAAGGUAGAAAUGCCAUAGCAUAGCAUGACAGAGUUCUGCAGGCCAGACUCAAGGAGCAGAAUGACCCUUUCCAGCAAGGGUUUGAUGACCGAGCACAAAUGCAAAGAGAGAUAGAUGCUCUUAAGGAAGCAAAUGCACAAGAGGGAGAGAAUAGGCCUUCAUUUAUGAGCAAGGCUCUGGAUGGCGCUAUGUUGGUUCUCCAGGGAAUAAUUCCCAAAGUAGGAGGAAUGGCUUUAAAUUGGCUGUCAAAGUUGUUCUGAUGAAGGUUCUUGAGAUUGAUUUAAUCAACAUUUAUUGAAGUUAAUGAUUGACUUACUUACUUUAAAUUAAGCACUACAUUUAAGGUUUAAUUUCAUGUUAGCUUAAAGAACCCCCCCACAAAAAAUAUAUACACCUAUGUUUUAUAAGUAAUUUGCAUGACAAAUCAUGACACAAAUCAAGCUUUUAGAAGGCAUGCUGAAAAUAUAAGAUUGAAAUAUUUAUUGGUGCCUUUUAUUAUUUACUUGAAGUUGAUUAACUGUUUUUAAUGCACCGGACAUUCUACACUAGAGUGUGUACAGUGGUAUGUUAAUAAAAAGUGUAAUAAUA